CGUCAAUGAUGAUAUCCUCAAGGCUUGUUUCUCAGAAACAUUCGCAGUUACCACCCAAGAGCGAAAUGAUGUACAGUUUAAUCUUUCCUUGGAUGUCUGAGACA